rnacentral:rRNA from 1 species
UACGUAGGGUGCAAGCGUUAAUCGGAAUUACUGGGCGUAAAGCGCACGUAGGCGGGUCGUUAAGUCAGGGGUGAAAUCCCAGAGCUCAACUCUGGAACUGCCUUUGAUACUGGCGACCUAGAGUCCGGAAGAGGUUAGUGGAAUUCCCAGUGUAGAGGUGAAAUUCGUAGAUAUUGGGAAGAACACCAGUGGCGAAGGCGGCUAACUGGUCCGGUACUGACGCUGAGGUGCGAAAGCGUGGGGAGCAAACAGG